rnacentral:rRNA from 1 species
AAAUCUUGACAUCCUUUGAAAACUCUAGAGAUAGAGCCUUCCCCUUCGGGGGACAAAGUGACAGGUGGUGCAUGGUUGUCGUCAGCUCGUGUCGUGAGAUGUUGGGUUAAGUCCCGCAACGAGCGCAACCCUUAAACUUAGUUGCCAGCAUUUAGUUGGGCACUCUAGGUUGACUGCCGGUGACAAACCGGAGGAAGGUGGGGAUGACGUCAAAUCAUCAUGCCCCUUAUGAUUUGGGCUACACACGUGCUACAAUGGACAAUACAAAGGGCAGCUAAACCGCGAGGUCAUGCAAAUCCCAUAAAGUUGUUCUCAGUUCGGAUUGUAGUCUGCAACUCGACUACAUGAAGCUGGAAUCGCUAGUAAUCGUAGAUCAGCAUGCUACGGUGAAUACGUUCCCGGGUC